rnacentral:rRNA from 1 species
CCUACGGGAGGCAGCAGUGGGGAAUUUUGUGCAAUGGGGGAAACCCUGACACAGCGACACCGCGUGAGCGAAGAAGCCCUUUGGGGUGUAAAGCUCUGUCAACGGGAACGAAAAAAUGACGGUACCCGUGGAGGAAGCAUCGGCUAACUACGUGCCAGCAGCCGCGGUAAGACGUAGGAUGCAAGCGUUGUCCGGAUUUAUUGGGCGUAAAGAGUUCGUAGGCUGUUUGUUAAGUCUGAUGUUAAAGACUGGGGCUCAACCUCGGAAAUGCAUUGGAUACUGGCAGACUGGAGUGCAGUAGAGGCUAGUGGAAUUCCCAGUGUAGCGGUGAAAUGCGUAGAUAUUGGGAAGAACACCGGUGGCGUAGGCGACUAGCUGGGCUGUAACUGACGCUGAGGAACGAAAGCCAGGGGAGCGAAUGGGAUUAGAUACCCCAGUAGUCCUGGCCGUAAACGAUGGAUACUAGUACGUAGUAGGUAGUACGACCCGUCGUCGUGUGCGCGACGCGUACGACGAGUAAGUAGUCCGUCCGUCGUAGUAGUACGGCCGGCCGAGGUUAGUAAACGUACGAAACGGAAAGUUAAGUACGGUCGUUGAGUACGUUGCCGACGGCGACGACGAGGGAGGAGG